rnacentral:tRNA from 1 species
GGAGGCACUGUCUGCAGUGGGCGCUAGCCACACUGGCAGUGUGAGGGUCAGGGGUUCGAGUCCCCUCAGCUCCA